rnacentral:rRNA from 1 species
AUUGAACGCUGGCGGCAGGCUUAACACAUGCAAGUCGAGCGGGGUGAUGGUGCUUGCACUAUCACUUAGCGGCGGACGGGUGAGUAAUGCUUAGGAAUCUGCCUAUUAGUGGGGGACAACAUCUCGAAAGGGAUGCUAAUACCGCAUACGUCCUACGGGAGAAAGCAGAGGAUCACUUGUGACCUUGCGCUAAUAGAUGAGCCUAAGUCGGAUUAGCUAGUUGGUGGGGUAAAGGCCUACCAAGGCGACGAUCUGUAGCGGGUCUGAGAGGAUGAUCCGCCACACUGGGACUGAGACACGGCCCAGACUCCUACGGGAGGCAGCAGUGGGGAAUAGUGGACAAUGGGGGGAACCCCGAUCCAGCCAUGCCGCGUGUGUGAAGAAGGCCUUAUGGUUGUAAAGCACUUUAAGCGAGGAGGAGGCUCUUUUGGUUAAUACCCAAGAUGAGUGGACGUUACUCGCAGAAUAAGCACCGGCUAACUCUGUGCCAGCCGCCGCAGUAA